AGGACGAACGCUGGCGGCGUGCUUAACACAUGCAAGUCACGGGGGCCCGCAAGGGUAACCGGCGAACGGGUGCGUAACACGUGAGCAACCUGCCUUUGUGUGGGGGAUAGCCGGGCUAACGCCCGGGUAAUACCGCAUACGGUUGCCGAGGGGAGUCCCUUGGCAAAGAAACCUCCGGGGCACAAAGAGGGGCUCGCGGCCUAUCAGCUAGUUGGAGGGGUAAUGGCCCACCAAGGCGACGACGGGUAGCUGGU
rnacentral:rRNA from 1 species